GUAACGCGUGGGUAACCUGCCUUAUACAGGGGGAGUAACAGUCAGAAAUGGCUGCUAAUACCGCAUAAGCGCACAGAGCUGCAUGGCUCAGUGUGAAAAACUACCGGUGGUAUAAGAUGGACCCGCGUUGGAUUAGCUAGUUGGUGGGGUAACGGCCCACCAAGGCGACGAUUCAUAGCCGGCCUGAGAGGGUGAACGGCCACAUUGGGACUGAGACACGGCCCAGACUCCUACGGGAGGCAGCAUG
rnacentral:rRNA from 1 species